CGUGGCGAACGGGUGCGUAACACGUGGACAAUCUUCCUUCUGGUGGGGAAUAACCCAGUGAAAACUGGGCUAAUACCGCAUAACAUUGCGAGGGCGCAUGCCUUUGCAUUCAAAGGAGCAAUUCGCCGGAAGAGGGGUCCGCGGCCGAUUAGCUUGUUGGCGAGGUAACGGCUCACCAAGGCGAUGAUCGGUAGCCGGUCUGAGAGGAUGGCCGGCCACACUGGAACUGAGACACGGUCCAGACUCCUACGGGAGGCAGCAGUGGGGAAUCUUGCGCAAUGGGCGAAAGCCUGACGCAGCGACGCCGCGUGGGGGAUGAAGCUUCUCGGAGUGUAAACCCUUUUCGACCGGGACGAAUGCCCGCAAGGGCUUGACGGUACCGGUAUAAGAAGCCCCGGCUAACUACGUGCCAGCAGCCGCGGUAAAACGUAGGGGGCCAGCGUUGCUCGGAAUUACUGGGCGUAAAGGGUCCGUAGGCGGUGUGACAAGUCGGUAGUGAAAUCUCUGGGCUCAACUCAGAGGCUGCUGCCGAAACUGUUGUGCUCGAGUGUGAGAGAGGCGAGUGGAAUUACGGGUGUAGCGGUGAAAUGCGUAGAUAUCCGUAGGAACAUCCGAGGCGAAAGCGGCUCGCUGGAUCACAACUGACGCUGAGGGACGAAAGCUAGGGGAGCAAACAGGAUUAGAUACCCUGGUAGUCCUAGCCCUAAACCAUCAGGACUUGGGGUUUGCCCUGUACGGGGCAAGUCCCGGAGCUAACGCGUUAAGUCCUGCGCCUGGGGAGUACGGUCGCAAGGCUGAAACUCAAAGGAAUUGACGGGGGCCCGCACAAGCGGUGGAACAUGUGGUUCAAUUCGA
rnacentral:rRNA from 1 species